rnacentral:rRNA from 1 species
UACGAGGGGGGCAAGCGUUGUUCGGAAUCACUGGGCGUAAAGGGCGCGUAGGUGGCGAUCCAAGUCCAUGGUGAAAGCUCGAUGCUCAACAUCGAGUCGGCCACGGAUACUGGGUUGCUUGAGCACUGUAGGGGCAGAUGGAAUUCCGGGUGUAGCGGUGGAAUGCGUAGAGAUCCGGAAGAACACCGGUGGCGAAGGCGGUCUGCUGGGCAGUUGCUGACACUGAGGCGCGACAGCGUGGGGAGCAAACAGGG